rnacentral:lncRNA from 1 species
GCAUUUUUUGUUGCUUUAUCUGUUGGAUGGUUUCAGAGGUCGGUAGCUGUAGGCUCCUCCUCCCUGAUCUCUUGCUGUGCAUCUUUCACUCUGACCACUUCCUGAAAGUAUGUGGUUUCCCUCUCUGCAACAUCAUUCCGUAGUUUGAUGUUGUAUUUCCUGCCCACGGAGUUACUGCUGUGUUGUUCCAGAGACACAUUCUCCUGGUUAUGUGGCUUUCUUUGCAGUAUGUCCACUCAGGGGAAGGUUGGUGAGUGCCAUGCUUCUGCAUCAGCCCAGAACAGCAACAGACACUGACUGAGAGAAGCUCAGGGCACCCUCUCUCCCGUUUUUCUGUUGCCAUCUUGGAAUAAGACCAGCGCCAUCAUCUCGGGGGACAAGGGUGGGAGGGGAAAGAGCCAAGAUCCAGGAUGGAGAAUCUCAGCUUUCCACCAUGGCUCAGAGAAGGGCCACGUACAGAACGUGGCAGAGAUCCGAAGGAGGCGUGGACUGCUUUGCUUGCAACUAGCUGGCCUCAAAAUGUCAAUAUAGAACUCUUUUUGAGGAGCUAAUUUAUUUUUGAUUAGCAGGUUUUUGGGGUACUCCCCUGCCCCGUGAUUAUUAUUUUUGUGGCAGGUUUCCAUUUUCUGAAAGUUUGUCUGAACCCUUUCAUGUUCUAAGGGAACUGAGCUCACUAUGGCUUCUCAUGGCCAAAUCUGCAGCAAAGUCCCAACCCUACAAGAGCUCUCAGAUAAUAUAGGGAUUUCCUUCUCCCAUUAUGUCUUCUCAAUAAGAAAGGGCAUGAGUUUGGAAAGGCAGUAGGGCUUUGGGGAGAGAAUGUUUCCAGACCAUGUGUGGGUAAGAUUUGAUCAAGUAUGAACCAAAUUAAAAACAUGGGCUCACUGUUCCUGUCUCCUCUUUUAAAUACAAUAGCAAUAGAUCUAUAGUCACGCCUACUGCAGGAGGUGUUUGAUCUCAACAAUUGGACAGGGAGACUCAGGCCCUGGGCUGAAUCCAAUCUUUCUGUGGGGUCUCAUUUCUGCCUUCCAGGGUUUUCCAAAUUCUCAUGCAUCUUCCCCUUGAUAACAUCAUUUGCCAGGCUCCCUUUCUUUUUCAAUAGAUUCCCCCACUCCAAUUAUGAAAGGCUGACAUGGUAACACUUGGGAGUAUAAACAAUUAAUCAAAAUACAGGGUGAAAUCCAGUAGCACACAGUUGGACCAUGUAAGGCAGAUGAUGUCAUCAGCCCUGGCCAUUUUUCAUGAACUACAAGUUUCUGAUUCCCUCCCCCCACUAAAGGUUCUGAGGCUCUCUUGGGAG